rnacentral:rRNA from 1 species
CCUACGAGUGGCAGCAGUGAGGAAUAUUGGUCAAUGGACGAGAGUCUGAACCAGCCAAGUAGCGUGAAGGAUGACAGCCCGAUGGGUUGUAAACUUCUGUUAUAAAGGAAUAAAACGAGGCACGUGUGCCUUUUUGCAUGUACUUUAUGAAUAAGGAUCGGCUAACUCCGUGCCAGCAGCCGGGGUAAUACGGAGGGUCCGCGCUUUAUCCGGAUUUAGUGGGUUUAAAGGGAGCGUAGGUGGGUUGUUAAGUCAGUUGUGAAAGUUUGCGGCUCAACCGUAUAAUUGCAAUUGAUACUGGCAGUCUUGCGUACAUUUGAGGUAGGCGGAAUUC